AUCUCUGUAUGGAGAUCUCUCCCUUGUGGAGUCUUUCUUGUGAGCCUAGAUCUUUGGAGAUGGGAGGAGCACUGCGUCUGGCUGGUGGGACCACUGCAAAUGGAGUUAGCAAAGAUGUGGCCAGUUCUGGAGUUAGUCUGAAACUUGGUCUUGAAGGUGUUUUGACACUAUUGCCUCUGGUGUAUGUCUUGCAAUUUUUUUUUCCCCCUCUUAUUUUUAUUCUUCACUUCUGGAGUUCAGCAGUCUAUCUUUACAUGGAAAUCACUGCCAUAAUUUAUGCCGGGUGCUUGCUGAAUUUAGUACUUUGUAAAGGCAAUAAUCCUAAGUAUGAAUAAAAAUUCAACACUCCAGGCAGUAAUAGAAGCAAUUCUUAUAUUCCUAAUAUAGUGUAGCAUUUUUAAAGGUUUAAAAAAAAAAAUUGUUUUCAGUUUGCCUUUAAAUCGUUUCUGAAUGAUAGUCUUCUUCAGCUGAUUGCUUCCUUGACAUCCAAAUGACAUCCUGUGUUGCACAUUCAUAAUUUAGGAUAUGAAAUGUGUUGCAAAGGGAAGAAUGGAAAUCGAGUUUGAAGUUGAAUAUAUCGCUCUUAGGGUAAAUUAGCAGGAAAUAAUGCAUACAAUCCUAGUCUUUAUGUUUACUUAGCACAUACACAGGGUAGGAAUGAAUAUAUUAUAUCGUGAUGUAUAUGUUCUCACACAUAAAAUGGAAACUGUAAAUAUUUGCUGCUUCAUAUGUAGAGCACCUACUCUAAGUCAGUGGAAAUGCUGUGUUUAAAUAUUCAAUUUAACUUUCAAGACCAAACCUAUCUUGGUUUUUUUUACUGGAGGAGUGGGGCUGGCUGCUGAUGAAUUUGAAGUUCUUCACAGUUAAGCCUGUCAUCUGUACUUAUGUAAAACUCCAUUUGCAAGGUUUCCUCUUGGCUUAGCCCUGUUGACUGGUGGUAUAUUUAAAAUGCAACUUAUUUAUGCUAGAACUGCUGUUGGCACAGAUGGAAUUAAAGGAGGGCAUAUGUU
ensembl:lncRNA